CGGCAGGCUUAACACAUGCAAGUCGAGCGAAGACUUCGGUCUUAGCGGCGGACGGGUGAGUAACACGUGGGUAACCUGCCCAAGAGACUGGGAUAACACCUGGAAACAGAUGCUAAUACCGGAUAACAACACUAGACGCAUGUCUAGAGUUUGAAAGAUGGUUCUGCUAUCACUCUUGGAUGGACCUGCGGUGCAUUAGCUAGUUGGUAAGGUAACGGCUUACCAAGGCAAUGAUGCAUAGCCGAGUUGAGAGACUGAUCGGCCACAUUGGGACUGAGACACGGCCCAAACUCCUACGGGAGGCAGCAGUAGGGAAUCUUCCACAAUGGACGAAAGUCUGAUGGAGCAACGCCGCGUGAGUGAAGAAGGGUUUCGGCUCGUAAAGCUCUGUUGGUAGUGAAGAAAGAUAGAGGUAGUAACUGGCCUUUAUUUGACGGUAAUUACUUAGAAAGUCACGGCUAACUACGUGCCAGCCGCCGCAGUAAAAC
rnacentral:rRNA from 1 species